CGGUUAAAAAGCUCGUAGUUGGAUUUCUGUUGAGAGCGGGCGGUCCACCUUUUGGGUGAGUAUCUGCAUUGAUCUCGGCAUCUUCUUGGGAAACGUUCUUGCGCUUGAUUGCGUGAGGCGGUGCCCAGGACUUUUACUUUGAGGAAAUUAGAGUGUUCACGGCAGGCAUACGCCCUGAAUAUAUUAGCAUGGAAUAAUGAUAUAGGAUUUUGGUCCUAUUUUGUUGGUUUCUAGGACUAAAAUAAUGAUUAAUAGGGACAAUUGGGGGCAUUCGUAUUAACGCGUCAGAGGUGAAAUUCUUGGAUUGCGUUACGACGAACUACUGCGAAAGCAUUUGCCAAGGAUGUUUUCAUUGAUCAAGAACGAAUGUAAGGGGAUCGAAGAUGAUUGGAUACCGUCGUAGUCUUUACCAUAAACUAUGCCGACUA
rnacentral:rRNA from 1 species